GUUUUCUAAAAAGAUUGGUAACUAGUCUAGGUCUCUUGGGGAAAAUAUAGGCUAUAAGUCCGUUUCUACGUUUUCAAAUGGAAUGAGGGGAAUUUCGUAAUUUCCACCAUAAGUCUAUUCUCAAGGGGGUGGACGGUGAAAUAGGCUACCGUAGAUCUUUAAAUACCAAUAACAGCCUUUUGGUACCUAUCAAUUACAUUUUUAUUUUUGGGGGGGAUUUCACAAGUCAAAUGCAUUGAAUUAACAUCAAACAGAUCGAAUUAAAGAAGCGUACCAAGAAACGUGGGACAUGGACAGAAAGUUAAACAAUUGGUAAUGUCAGGCUUACAGUGAUACAAAGGCUUAUAAGAGUUUCAACAUGGAUCCACACCUAGGAGCUGUACCCUCAACAACACACGUCCCUGGACAGCAGAUCCACACCUAGGAGCUGUCCCUUCAGCACCACACAUCACUGGACAGCAGAUCCACACCUAGGAGCUGUCCCUUCAGCACCACACAUCACUGGACAGCAGAUCCACAGCUAGGAGCUGUCCCUUCAGCACCACACAUCACUGGACAGCAGAGCCACACCUAGGAGCUGUCCCUUCAGCACCACACAUCACUGGACAGCAGAUCCACAGCUAGGAGCUGUCCCUUCAGCACCACACAUCACUGGACAGCAGAUCCACACCUAGGAGCUGUCCUUUUAGCACAGCACCCCUGCAUAGGGGUGGCAAGUAGCCUAGUGGUUAGAGCGUUGGACUAGUAACCGAACGGUUGCAAAGUUAAAUCCCCGAGCUGACAAGGUAAAAAUCUGUUGUUCUGCCACUGAACAAGGCAGUUAACCCACUGUUCCUAGGCUGUCAUUGAAAAUAAGAAUUUGUUCUUAACUGACUUGCCUAGUUAAAUGAAGGUAAAAUAUAUUUAAAAAAAAUGUAAAGUGAAGAGGCAGCAGCAGGUCCACAGUAUAGGCCCACAUACAGUAUCUCUCUCUCUUUCUUUCAAUCUGUCUUUCUUUCACAAACACACACACACAGAGUCAUUUCUUGACGUUAUCAUCAGUAUAACAUCAACUAUUGUUCUGUUUCCUCUGAAAUGUGUGCAAAAGACAAACCCACAGCCCAAACUAUUUUUUUAAAGCCCUCUGCAUGCGUAAGAUAUGCGUAAGAGAAGACACACAUACUCAUCGUCGACAUAUCUAAAGCACAGAUACUGGGGCAGCAGAAGGCUAAAGCAUAAUUGUCGAAAACAGUCCUGAAAUGUCUUUGUUGUAUUCCUUAACAUCACUCAUCAUUCUCCAUCAUUCUCCUUCUCAUUCAAAUCACAGCCCCUAAAUUCGAAUAUUGGCAUGACAGGGUUUUUUUGUGUUCUUUUCUUCUUCUUUUUUACCCUAACCAUCUCAGACUAGAGACAGGAGUAGUAAGAGGAUGCCAGCAAGUUUAAUUAUUUUUAGAACAGGGACCCACAAAAUAACUGCAUAUAGAUGUUUUUAUAUAUAUAUAUAUAACAGUCAAAAAGUUUGAACACACCUACUCAUUCAAGGGUUUUUCUUUUAAUAUUGCCUAAAUUGUAAAAUAGUGAAGACAUCAAAACUAUGAAAUAACAAGUAUGGAAUCAUGUAGUAACCCAUUUUUUUUUUUAAACAAAUCAAAAUAUGUUUUAUAUUUGAGAUUCUUCAAAAUAGCCACCCUUUGCCUUGAUGACAGCUUUGUUCACUCUUGGCAUUCUUUCAAACAACUUCAUGAGGUAGUCACCUGGAAUGCAUUUCAAUUAACAGGUGUACCUUGAUAAAAGUUAAUUUGUGGACAUUCUUUCCUUCUUAAUGUGUUUGAGCCAAUCAGUUAUGUUGUGACAUGGUAGGGAUGGGUAUACAGAAGAUAGCCUUAUUUGGUAAAAGACCAAGUCCAUAUUAUGGCAAGGACAGCUCAAUACGCAAAGAGAAACGUCAUUACUUUAAGACAUGAAGGUCAAUCAAUGCGGAAAAUUUCAAGAACUUUGAAAGUUUCUUCAAGUGCAGUCACAAAUACCAUCAAGCGCUAUGAUGAAACUGGCUCUCAUGUGGACCGCCACAGUAAAGGAAGACCCAGAGUUACCUCUGCUGCAGAGGAUAAGUUCAUUAGAGUAACCAGCCUCAUAAAUUGGCAAUUAGCUGCACCUCAGAUUGCAGCCUAAAUAAGUGCUUCAAGUAACAGACACAUCUCAACAUCAACUGUUCAGAGGAGACUGCGUGAAUCAGGCCUUCAUGGUCAAAUUGCUGCAAAGAAAAACUACUAAAGGACACCAAUAAUAAGAAGAGACUUGCUUGGGCCAAGAAACACAAGAAAUUAACAGACUUGUAGAAAUCUGUCCUUUGGUCUGAUGAGUCCAAAUUUUAGAUUUUGGGUUCAAACAUUGUGUCUUUGUGAGAUGCAGAGUAGGUGAACAGAUGAUCUCUGCAUGUGUGGUUCCCAAUGUGAAGCAUGGAGGAGGAGGUGUGAUGGUGUGGGGGUGGUUUGCUGGUGACACUGUCAGUGAUUUAUUUUGAAUAAAGUCAAGGCACACUUAACCAGCAUGGCUACCACAGCAUACUGCAGUGAUACGCCAUCCCAUCUGGUUUGCACUUAGUGGGACUAUCAUUUGUUUUUCAACAGGACAAUGACCCAAAACACACCUCCAGAAUGUGUAUGGGGUAUUUGACCAAGGAGAGUGAUGGAGUGUUGCAUCAGAAGACCUGGUCUCCACAAUCACCCUACCUCAACCCAAUUGAGAUGGUUUGGGAUGAGUUGGACCGUGGAGGGAAGGAAAAGCAGCCAACAAGUGCUCAGCAUAUGUGGGAACUCCGUCAAGAUUGUUAGAAAAGCAUUGAGGUGACUACCUCAUGAAGCUGGUUGAGAGAAUGCCAAGAGUGUGCAAAGCUGUCAUCAAGGAAAAGGGAGGCUAAUUUGAAGAAUUUAAAAUCUAAAAUAUAUUUUCAUUUGUUUAAAACUUUUUUGCUUACUUCAUGAUUCCAUAUGUGUUAUUUCAUAGUUCUGAUGUCUUCACUAUUAUUCUACAAUGUAGAAAAUAGUACUAGUAAAGAAAAACCCAUGAAUGAGUAGGUGUGUCCAAACUUUUGACUGGUGCUGUAUAUACCAGUCAAACUGGUAUAUAUAACUGAAGAGUUCAGUGACUUUCAACGUGGCACCGUCAUAGGAUGCCACCGUUCCAAGAAGUCGGUUCGUCAAAUUCCUGCCCUGCUAGUGCUGCCCCGGUUAACUGUAAGUGCUGUUAUUGUGAAGUAGAAAUGUCUAGGAGCAACAACAGCUCAGCCGGGAAGUAGUAGACCACACAAGCUCACAGAACGGGACCACCGAGUGCUGAAGCGCUUAGCGUGUAAAAGUCGUUUGUCCUCAGUUGCAACACUCACUACCGACACUCACUACUUCAGCACAAAAACUGUUCAUUGGGAGCUUCAUGAAAUUGGUUUCCAUGGCCAAGCUGCCGCACACAAGCCUAAAAUCACCAUGUGCAAUGCCUAGCAUCUGCUGGAGUGAUGUAAAGCUCGCUGUCAUUGGACUCUGGAGCAGUCGAAAUGCAUUCUCUGUAGUGAUGAAUCACGCUUCAUCAUCUAGCAGUCAGACGGAUUAAUCUGGGUUUGGCGGAUGGCGGGAGAGUGCCACCUGCCCGAAUGAAUAGUGUCAACUGUAAAGUUUGGUGGAGGAAGAAUAAUUGUCUGGUGCUGUUUUUCAUGGUUCAGGCUAGGCCUCUUAGUUCCAGUGAAGGGAAAUCUUAAUGCUACACCAC
rnacentral:lncRNA from 1 species